UACUACUAGUCUACUACUUAAGUUAUUAUCUAUGGUAUUGUCGUUGACUGAAAUGGAAGUCUGAAGUUGUAGUUUUCGAUAAUUUCAUUUCGUACGCCUUGUAGCAUUUUCUUUUAUACAUAAAGGAUAUUGUCCUUAACAAAAUAACAUAAUGGAUGUCUUUUUAAUGAUAAGGCGAAAAAAGCUUACUGUCUUCACUGAUGCGAAGGAAACCACUACAGUAUUAGAGUUGAAGAAAAUGAUUGAAGGUAUCCUAAAGGUACCUCCUCCAAGUCAAAUGCUGUUCAACAAGGACAGCCAGCUCAUGGAAGAUGAGAAGACCUUGGCUGAAUUUGGCCUGACCUCUAACACAGCAAAGGCUCACUGUCCAGCACCAAUUGGAUUAGCUUUGAGGAAGGAGAAUGGUGAAUUUGAGGCACUGGAACUUACCCCGUAUUCUUCACCCCCCGACUUGCCAGAUGUUAUGAAAUCUCAAGAGACCAAUGGACAGGAACAGGUAUGACGGCUAUUUCAGAGCAUUUCAGUUUCGUACAAAUUUUUAGAACCCUAUGUGCCAGUAUGAGCACUUAAGUUCAUGUUAUUAUAGUCAUUGAUCAUAAAAGGAGGCCUAAUUAUCGCCAAUCAGACCGCUAACAUAUCGCAUAUCUAAGAAAAUAACAGUCAGGUCAGAGCAUCCAAGAGUAUGCUCAAUGAAGAGCUUAGCCGUUGGUUUUUUUUUUUAUUGUCCUGGUAGACAGACGGUCCUGAUGGUGAGUAGUUGCCGUCGCUCGUGGACGACAGCAAUGUCAGAGACAGAACUAAGCUGCUGACUGCCGAAAAUUUACAAUAGGAAUUUUAUUUUGUGACUUUUUUUUUACCCUGCACCCAAAAUAUUAACACAAGAGUCCCGUGUGCUCUGGUACCGCGCCAACCAGGCAUAUUCGCUUCACGGAGUAUCAGCUUGCGAAAUCGAUAAGUCUACGUCUUAGCUUUACAAAUGAAAAUUGUUCCCCCUUUAUUUCGGGUUAAUAAUACCACAGGAAGAGUAAUAGAAAAAUAUUGCUCUAUUAAAUUCGUAGAAAUAUUCAAAUGUCACGUGUAAAGCUGGUAAUGUAUAAGUAAAGAUACAUCAUUAUUAAAUAAUCAACAGAAAAAAACAAUGAAAAGCAUGGCAGAAAUAUUUAAAUUUAGUUCUGCUUGUAAAUCAGGUGUUGCAAGUCAUACAUUGGCCAUUUUCCGUAAUUGGAAAUAGUAAUUAAAUAAAAAACUUAAUUUUCCUGAAAAUUCCACUUAAACAAUGCAAAGGUGAACGAAUCUGAAAUGAUUUAAUCGCAAAAGUAUUCCUUGUAAACUGAAUCUACAAUAGAAUUUGUACUUUAAUGAAUUUUGUGAUGAUAUACAACGUGUUACAAAAUACCCCUUAAAAAAUAUAAUUAAUUAUCAAAGCCAAAACGUUGUCAACCCUAGUAAGCUGUCAUGUCAGGGAACCAGAUUAUUAAACAGAAAGGCCUACGUACCUAUUUUACCUAAUAAUUGUCUACUUUAAUAGUUUUUUCUAUUUUUCAUUCAUAAAUGUUUGCUACCUUAAUACAAGAAUGUCAUUAACUGAAGUACUGACUUAAAAAAAUGUCAAGUUAGAAAAAAAACUUGAACUUCUUUUUGUGGGGUUAUGUGAAGGACAGAGUGUAUUAAUUCGAUUGCCUAGCGGUUUCCGAGAUGGAACAGCGUGUUAGAUCGGCAUUCGCAUCAAUAACACCGAUGAUAGUGCGAAAUCCCACACAAGCCAUAUCCCGACGAGUGAGGUUGUUUAUUGAGCAAGGCGGUGUGCACUCACUUUGAGCCGUAUAUGCAAAUUUGACGUUUGUUAUGAAAAACUGUCCGUUUAGGUAUUUUCGUUAGGUCUUUUAAAUUUUUUGUCGUUCCGAGAAUUAGGUAGUAAUGUAGGUAGGUACAUUCUGCGUAGUUUACUCUUUAAUUUUAAUUGAAAUAGGGUUUGCACAUCAGGGUUUUUUUUUUUUUUUAAUUAUUAUGUUAUACAGCGUUACUACGGUUCUUAAAUAUUGUGAAUGAACUCGUUAUAUGGGGCCUCCAUUUAACCUCCUUUCGGCUUUACAGGUAGUUUUGUAACACCAUGUGUACCAUUUUAAAAAUUAUUAAAUACCUUUUUUACUGCUUAAUGAAAUCUACAGUAAAUGCUAAAGCUAUGAACAUAAACAUAUUCAUUCAUCUCUAUAAUGUGUUUCACUAAACUUAUUGUGAGGUGAACUAGGAUAGCAGAUAGACAGACCGAUAAAAAGCAUUGAGUAACCAUUGCAUUGUAUGAGCCACUGUCGCGAUACAUCGUCGUUCGCUUGCGAUUCGUACUACUAAGACUGUACGUCUUCUUGAAGUUAAAUCACAAAAAUGUUUUCUUAUUUUCAUUCGAAAUUAUUUCAGAUGGAUCAACAUUAAACGAAAAACGAGGCUGUGAUUCGGACGUAGACGAUACAGACACCAACUUUGUAUCAUAACGAUUUUGUAUAUUUAAAAAAAAACCAGUUCAGGAUCUGAACAUUUAGCCCGGCCCUUACGAUCCGGCAGUCGGGUACAAAACAUUAAACAAUUUUAUUUUUUAUUCACGAUAAAAUAUUUUGUUAUUAAUAUAUCGAUUUGUGUUCCGUUCAACGUUUUGUUACGCUUCGAUUUAAAUAUUCCUUCUACUGUUUCAACAAAUAUAUAUAUAUAUAUAUAUAAAUACAUGAUGCAUAGAACUCUACCUCCAUUAUUAUUUGGCCUUUCAAAAUUGGCUUAUUAAUUCAUUUGAUAGCACUCGUGGUAUUAACAUGUAAACAGACCUGGUUUUGUCUGUUCAUAUGUAACGUGUCAGAGGCGACCCCAGAGUGACCAGAGUUCAAUGUGUUCCCAAUCUUUUAUUGAGUCAUUGUGUUCACCAUUGGCAACAUUAUAUGUUUACGCCGGGACAAAGUAAGUUACAUUGUGUAAUAGAAAGAUUUAAUUAAUUCAGGAAGUAUAAGUUUAGUUAAGAGUCCACAAUUCGACUGUUUGCGCAUAGACAAUAGUAGGAACUUUUUUUCUUUUUUGUAAUUAGUUUCCGGAUCCGUAGACGUAAUGUCUGACGUCCUAAAGCCACAUUAAUAGCAUUUAAAAUCGAUUUACAAACAUAAAAUAGUAAUAAAUAUUCAAAAAUGCUUUAUGUCAGACAAGAACAAGUUUUGACUAUAUGUAACGGUAUUAUCAGUAACAAAAAGUGUAGUUUUGUAAACUAAGUCAUAAAGGCUGUGUGGAAUAUGACUAAAAUAACUACUUUAUCGUAACAUUAUAUAAAUUGGAAACAAUUGGAUAUUCACGUUAUGUUGCUUCUAUCAUUUAAGAUUUAAAUCUACAGCGAUGUCUCAGGUAGGGUAGUUAAAAAAAACCAUUGUAGAAAUAUAAAAAAUUAAGCAUUGGUAUUAAUUACUCAUCGAAAAACAUUUGUAUCAUAAACAUAUUUAUUUGAAGUGAGCGAAGUUUGGGCAGUAUUGUAACAACUCGCUUAACACGCAUGGAUUAUAUUAUAAUAAUUGCUUAGUUUGUUAAUAAGCCGUAUAUUACGUUUUUACUAAUUUCACAUAACACCAUCUGCAAACGAAAAGAAAUUCAAAAUAAUUUAAUAAAACGGUAAAUAAAAUAAAGCGGUAGGCAGCGGCUUGGCUCUGCCCCUGGCAUUGCUGAAGUCCAUGGGCGACGGUAAUCACUCCACAUCAGGUGGGCCGUAUGCUCGUCUGCCUACAAGGGCAAUAAAAAAAAAAAUCGUAAAUAAAUUAACUUUUCAAACGAGUAUUUAUUUUUUGCUCAAUACGAAAUGCUUUUUGAGAAAAACUUGUAAUUACUCAAAUGUCACUUGAACGUUGGACUAAGUUUUUUUUUAAAUAGCUGUACCUAUUUAACUGAUAGAAUAGAUUAGCUAAUUUUUAUAGGGGGGGAAGAAUAAGGGGCUUUUUAUAUUGACGGUCUCUCUGCUACAUUCUAUGGUAUGUCUAAAGAAACAAAUCUUCAUUACUUCCUUUAUUUCGCGUUUCUGCAACAGAAAAAAAUGUUUAUUUUUUUUCUGUAUAUUUUGAAUUUUAUUUUUGUUUUGAUUUCUUUUUUUUUUUUGUUCAAUAAAAUCAGCAGAAUUCCUGGUGCAAUUCUUAAUUACCUGUCUAUAUUAACUUGUGAUUUUAACGGAUUUCUCUUCAGUUGCUGUGCGUUCACUGGAUAGCAUUGUUGAAAUCUGUAUUACCAAAUAAUUUUUUUAUCAUUUUUUAUUUUUGUUUCUAUUUAAUAAAAGUAAUAAGGUAGUAUCGUAUUAAUCGAAAUUGCACUUCGCACUUUAAAAAAAAAACUAUAAAUUCUUAAAAUAGGAUAGCAAAUUGAAUGGCCGCUACUACGGGUUUGACUAUGUGAAAAUAAUGUUUUUUAGUCGUAAUUAGUCGCGUCUGGUUGCUCGUAGUAGGGGCUGAUAUUUCCCCGAACUAGUCUAGUUCAAGAAAUGAGGCAACGUUGAGUUCGCUGUUACUUUUCAUGAACUUUAUUUACGUUUUGCUGGUACAUACGUCAAAUAUAAGGUUUCGUACUGAAUAAAUAUAAUAUAAUAACGGAAAUUAGCGCCAUUUUGACUUGCUACGUCUCGAUCGCACCGAUUAUGAUCCCAGCUUAGUGAUAUUGAUCCUUAAAUACAAAAGGUUACGAGCUAGACCAAUUUUGGAUUGGAUAGAUUCUGAUUUGUUUCCAAGUCGGUACCGCUUAGCUUAAAAUGGCCGAUUACUCAUUACUAAUUAGUUUUGAUAAAGAUUAAAUUGUAUACUUCUAAAACAUCAGUGAAUUUUAUAGCUUAUUUAUUCUGAAAUUAUAGUAAUAGUGACGAGACACUGGAGUUGACAGAACGAAAAAAAAACAUAUAGUACUAAAUAACUGCAUUUAAGGGUUACUUGACUAUAGCUCGGUUAUAUUGUUUAAGGUCAAGUCAUAAUAUUUUCUCUCUUGUACGUGAACUUGGCUUUUGAAGAUUUAACCAUUCGUAAUGUUUUCGACAAUUUACACAAAUGAAUUAUAUGCAAAGUCUGUAUCGGGAUUCGCGUUGGAUUCAUGCCAGAUUGGUACGAUGAACGCUCAGGCUAAAUCGCCCUAAUUUCCGUUAUUAUAUUGUUUAAGUAGGUACGAAAAAAGUAUAUGUAAUAUUUUAAGGUUACACUAAAUAACAAAAAAUGCAAUAAUGUUUUUACAUUGUAUAAAUGUGUGAUUAAUUAACUGUCUCCGAGUCGAUGUUUUUGUAUAACGAAAUUUAUAUAAUAAAAUACGAAACAGCAUAUUAAGACGAAUAAAACAUUGUAUAUUAUUUACUUAUAUGUGCAAAGCGAAUUCACAUGAUAUGAGCCAGCGGUAAAUAAAGCUGUUUUGAUUUGUA